rnacentral:tRNA from 1 species
AGUCCUAUAGCUCAGUGGUAGAGCAAUGUACUUAUGGGAUGCAUGGGCCGCGAGUUCAACCCUCGCUAGGACUA